rnacentral:rRNA from 1 species
CAGAGCAGCCAUAGUACCUGCAGCUCAGACUCAGUUAUCCACCAGAAGCUAAGCAGGUUUGGGCCUGGCCAGUAAUUGGAUGGGAGACCAACUAGGAAAGCUGGGUUGCUGCUGGGA